rnacentral:rRNA from 1 species
AGAACGAACGCUGGCGGCAUGCCUAACACAUGCAAGUCGAACGAGACCUUCGGGUCUAGUGGCGCACGGGUGCGUAACGCGUGGGAAUCUGCCCUUAGGUUCGGAAUAACUCAGGGAAACUUGAGCUAAUACCGGAUGAUGUCGCAAGACCAAAGAUUUAUCGCCUAGGGAUGAGCCCGCGUAGGAUUAGCUUGUUGGUGAGGUAAAGGCUCACCAAGGCUACGAUCCUUAGCUGGUCUGAGAGGAUGAUCAGCCACACUGGGACUGAGACACGGCCCAGACUCCUACGGGAGGCAGCAGUGGGGAAUAUUGGACAAUGGGCGAAAGCCUGAUCCAGCAAUGCCGCGUGAGUGAUGAAGGCCUAGGGUUGUAAAGCUCUUUACCCGGGAAGAUAAUGACUGUACCGGGAGAAUAAGCCCGGCUAACUCCGUGCCAGCAGCCGC